rnacentral:tRNA from 2 species
GCGAUCGUGGUCCAACGGCAGGACUCGGGCAUGCCACGUCCGCAGUGUCGGUUCGACUCCGACCGAUCGCU